UAUUAUUAAUUUCUUAUAAUAAUAAUAUAAAUAACGAAAAACCAGCGAAAAGCACAGCCGCGCUAUUAACUAGCGCAAAGAAUAAAAGGUAAAUACUUCCGAUGCCUGUUAAUUAUGGCGUAUCUUAACAAAGAAAAAAUGUCUUCAUAUUGUUUAUAUAUUUUUAGAUUUCAGCCAUAAAAUUAUAACGCCUCGGUUCCUAAAUAAUAUUUUCAAAUCAUUGAAAAUAAAUCGUUAAGCACAAACACCAACACAAUUAAGAUGAAAGAGUGGGAGUAAAUAUUAUACAUACCUAUACAAAGUUUAUCGAGUUGUAUAGCAGACGUGAUUUAAGUCAGCUGAAAAUUCAGUAGCAGCCAUGAAGAUCAAUGCUUGAAAACAAAAAGCUAAUACAACAGGCCACUUGGAUUGAUAUUUACCUCUCCUCGGGCCUAUAUUCCGAUUGCACUCAAAACUUUCAAAUAUGGUGGUAUAAAGCCACCUCUUGCGUCACCAGCUAGACUAUUUUUAACCAUGUUAAUAAUAAAAACUGCAGUAAA